UACGAAGGGGACUAGCGUUGUUCGGAAUUACUGGGCGUAAAGCGCGCGUAGGCGGACCUGCAAGUCGGGGGUGAAAACUCGAGGCUCAACCUCGAGACGCCGGUGGAAACCGUAAAGCUAGAGUCCGGAAGAGGAGAGUGGAAUUCCUGGUGUAGCGGUGAAAUGCGCAGAUAUCAGGAAGAACACCCGUGGCGAAGGCGACUCUCUGGGACGGUACUGACGCUGAGACGCGAAAGCGUGGGGAGCGAACAGG
rnacentral:rRNA from 1 species